AACGAACGCUGGCGGCAUGCCUAACACAUGCAAGUCGAACGAGACCUUCGGGUCUAGUGGCGCACGGGUGCGUAACGCGUGGGAACCUGCCCUUAGGUUCGGAAUAACUCCCCGAAAGGGGUGCUAAUACCGGAUAAUGUCUUCGGACCAAAGAUUUAUCGCCUUUGGAUGUGCCCGCGUUGGAUUAGCUAGUUGGUAGGGUAAAAGCCUACCAAGGCGACGAUCCAUAGCUGGUUUGAGAGGAUGAUCAGCCACACUGGGACUGAGACACGGCCCAGACUCCUACGGGAGGCAGCAGUGGGGAAUAUUGGACAAUGGGCGAAAGCCUGAUGCAGCAAGGCCGCGUGAGUGAUGAAGGCCUUAGGGUUGUAAAGCUCUUUUACCCGGGAUGAUAAUGACAGUACCGGGAGAAUAAGCUCCGGCUAACUCCGUG
rnacentral:rRNA from 1 species